rnacentral:misc_RNA from 1 species
UGUGGGAGGGGGCUUGCCCCCGAUAGCGGUGUGUCAGCUACAGAUAAGUAGACUGAUACUCUGCCAUCGGGAGCAAGCCCCCUCCCACA